rnacentral:rRNA from 1 species
CAAGGCGCAGCUACCAUGCAGUCGAGCGGAAACAAAGAGUAGCUUGCUACUCUGGUGACGAGCGGCGGACGGGUGAGUAAUGCUUGGGAACAUGCCUUGAGGUGGGGGACAACAGUUGGAAACGACUGCUAAUACCGCAUAAUGUCUACGGACCAAAGGGGGCUUCGGCUCUCGCCUUUAGAUUGGCCCAAGUGGGAUUAGCUAGUUGGUGAGGUAAUGGCUCACCAAGGCGACGAUCCCUAGCUGGUUUGAGAGGAUGAUCAGCCACACUGGGACUGAGACACGGCCCAGACUCCUACGGGAGGCAGCAGUGGGGAAUAUUGCACAAUGGGCGCAAGCCUGAUGCAGCCAUGCCGCGUGUGUGAAGAAGGCCUUCGGGUUGUAAAGCACUUUCAGUCAGGAGGAAAGGUUAGUAGUUAAUACCUGCUAGCUGUGACGUUACUGACAGAAGAAGCACCGGCUAACUCCGUGCCAGCAGCCGCGGUAAUACGGAGGGUGCGAGCGUUAAUCGGAAUUACUGGGCGUAAAGCGUACGCAGGCGGUUUGUUAAGCGAGAUGUGAAAGCCCCGGGCUCAACCUGGGAACUGCAUUUCGAACUGGCAAACUAGAGUGUGAUAGAGGGUGGUAGAAUUUCAGGUGUAGCGGUGAAAUGCGUAGAGAUCUGAAGGAAUACCGAUGGCGAAGGCAGCCACCUGGGUCAACACUGACGCUCAUGUACGAAAGCGUGGGGAGCAAACAGGAUUAGAUCCCCU